UACGGAGGGUGCAAGCGUUAUCCGGAUUCACUGGGUUUAAAGGGUGCGUAGGUGGGCAGGUAAGUCAGUGGUGAAAUCUCCGGGCUUAACCCGGAACUGCCGUUGAUACUAUUUGUCUUGAAUAUUGUGGAGGUAAGCGGAAUAUGUCAUGUAGCGGUGAAAUGCUUAGAUAUGACAUAGAACACCAAUUGCGAAGGCAGCUUACUACACAACGAUUGACGCUGAGGCACGAAAGCGUGGGGAUCAAACAGGA
rnacentral:rRNA from 1 species